UCCCUCCCUGCCGUUAGUUAAUACAGUGCUGUGUUGGUGCUCUGAUGAGAGCCAUGGGGCCUUGCUGCCGUCCGGCCCCUUCUCCGCGCGUGAGCCAGAGCGUUGCCUGGCUCUCCACAAGGAGACACCCGCGGACCGCGAAUGCGAGAGGGAACCUAAACGUGCUCCCUGCAUCCUUCCAGCCCGAGCCAGGGCAGCUCUUCCUCCAUGCCAGACCGCUCCUCCUUGCUGUAGCACGACCAGCUAGUUACUCGUUCAAGACACAUAGGACGGUUACAGAAAGCAGCCUGGGACUCGAUGCCCCUAAAAGCAUAACGGGAAAAGAUGCUUUUAAAUGGUCUUACCUUUUUUUUUUUUGUGCAGUUUUUGACUCAGCACUAGUAAGUGUGAUGUCCCGGAGGCCCAGAGCCGGUCCGUCCGUACGGUGGGCUGUGCAGGGGACCCRUAUGAAGCUGGCCUGGUUCUUCCAGACCGUUUCCUACAUGCAUCUGGUGCUGCCUCGUGCUGGCGGUCCUGCUAGAGGACGCACGGCAGCUUGCUGAGAUYGGUUGCUUGUAGGAUGCUGCCAUAAUCCAUCCCAGCACAGUGAACCUGGCCCAAGCCUUUGCACGCUGCUCUCCUGUCUCUCCCUGGCUGGUGUUUAGACACCGCACGCUUCCAAGCUGCRAUGGGGAGAUGCUUGACUGGCGAUGAAAUUACCUUUAAAAAAAAUAUUUCUAAGCAAUUUCUUCAUUUAUUCCACACAUGCCAAGUCUCCUUUAUGCGUUCAGAAUAGUUAAAUUAAGGUUGCCUUUACCUGGGUAACGUCUUCCCCUGUCCUGUAGUGACAUUCUCCGCUCAGUUUGCUUUCCUUUCAGCAAAAUUGUACUCGAGUCAUCUAUUUGCACCCAUAAAAAUUAAAAAGUGCCACUUGCCAGUCCCACUCUAUUGUGUAAAUUACAGUCCUUGUCUCCAUUUGCCACCCUCUUCUGAGUUCUUCUGAUGGUAAUUUCUGCCCUGAACAGCUUCCUUUGUAAAUAAAGCAUGCACAUAUGGAUUGGGAAUGGUGCA
rnacentral:lncRNA from 1 species